GGCCCAGACUCCUACGGGAGGCAGCAGUGGGGAAUAUUGCACAACGGGGGAAACCCUGAUGCAGCAACGCCGCGUGAGUGAAGAAGUCAUUCGUGAUGUAAAGCUCUAUCAGCAGGGAAGAAAAUGACGGUACCUGAGUAAGAAGCCCCGGCUAACUACGUGCCAGCAGCCGCGGUAAUACGUAGGGGGCAAGCGUUGUCCGGAUUUACUGGGUGUAAAGGGCGUGUAGCCGGGAAGGCAAGUCAGAUGUGAAAUCCGGAGGCUCAACCUCCGAAUUGCAUUUGAAACUGUUUUUCUUGAGUACUGGAGAGGCAGACGGAAUUCCUUGUGUAGCGGUGAAAUGCGUAGAUAUAAGGAGGAACACCAGUGGCGAAGGCGGUCUGCUGGACAGCAACUGACGGUGAGGCGCGAAAGCGUGGGGAGCAAACAGGAUUAGAUACCCUCGUA
rnacentral:rRNA from 1 species